UUAAGCGACUAAGCGUACACGGUGGAUGCCCUGGCAGUCAGAGGCGAUGAAGGACGUGCUAAUCUGCGAAAAGCGUCGGUAAGGUGAUAUGAACCGUUAUAGCCGGCGAUGUCCGAAUGGGGAAACCCAGUGCAAUUCGUUGCACUAUCGUUAACUGAAUACAUAGGUUAACGAGGCGAACCGGGGGAACUGAAACAUCUAAGUACCCCGAGGAAAAGAAAUCAACCGAGAUUCCCCCAGUAGCGGCGAGCGAACGGGGAGCAGCCCAGAGUCUGAAUCAGCUUGUGUGUUAGUGGAACGGUCUGGAAAGUCCGACGGUACAGGGUGAUAGUCCCGUACACCAAAAUGCACAGGUUGUGAACUCGAAGAGUAGGGCGGGACACGUGGUAUCCUGUCUGAAUAUGGGGGGACCAUCCUCCAAGGCUAAAUACUCCUGACUGACCGAUAGUGAACCAGUACCGUGAGGGAAAGGCGAAAAGAACCCCGGCGAGGGGAGUGAAAAAGAACCUGAAACCGUGUACGUACAAGCAGUGGGAGCACCUUCGGGUGUGACUGCGUACCUUUUGUAUAAUGGGUCAGCGACUUAUAUUCUGUAGCAAGGUUAACCGUAUAGGGGAGCCGCAGGGAAACCGAGUCUUAACUGGGCGUUAAGUUGCAGGGUAUAGACCCGAAACCCGGUGAUCUAGCCAUGGGCAGGUUGAAGGUUGGGUAACACUAACUGGAGGACCGAACCGACUAAUGUUGAAAAAUUAGCGGAUGACUUGUGGCUGGGGGUGAAAGGCCAAUCAAACCGGGAGAUAGCUGGUUCUCCCCGAAAGCUAUUUAGGUAGCGCCUCGUGAACUCAUCUUCGGGGGUAGAGCACUGUUUCGGCUAGGGGGUCAUCCCGACUUACCAACCCGAUGCAAACUACGAAUACCGAAGAAUGUUAUCACGGGAGACACACGGCGGGUGCUAACGUCCGUCGUGAAGAGGGAAACAACCCAGACCGCCAGCUAAGGUCCCAAAGUCAUGGUUAAGUGGGAAACGAUGUGGGAAGGCACAGACAGCCAGGAUGUUGGCUUAGAAGCAGCCAUCAUUUAAAGAAAGCGUAAUAGCUCACUGGUCGAGUCGGCCUGCGCGGAAGAUGUAACGGGGCUAAACCAUGCACCGAAGCUGCGGCAGCGACACUAUGUGUUGUUGGGUAGGGGAGCGUUCUGUAAGCCUGCGAAGGUGACCUGUGAGGGUUGCUGGAGGUAUCAGAAGUGCGAAUGCUGACAUAAGUAACGAUAAAGCGGGUGAAAAGCCCGCUCGCCGGAAGACCAAGGGUUCCUGUCCAACGUUAAUCGGGGCAGGGUGAGUCGACCCCUAAGGCGAGGCCGAAAGGCGUAGUCGAUGGGAAACAGGUUAAUAUUCCUGUACUUGGUGUUACUGCGAAGGGGGGACGGAGAAGGCUAUGUUAGCCGGGCGACGGUUGUCCCGGUUUAAGCAUGUAGGCUGGUUGUCCAGGCAAAUCCGGAUAAUCAAGGCUGAGGUGUGAUGACGAGGUACUACGGUGCUGAAGUAACAAAUGCCCUGCUUCCAGGAAAAGCCUCUAAGCAUCAGGUAACAUCAAAUCGUACCCCAAACCGACACAGGUGGUCAGGUAGAGAAUACCAAGGCGCUUGAGAGAACUCGGGUGAAGGAACUAGGCAAAAUGGUGCCGUAACUUCGGGAGAAGGCACGCUGGUGUGUAGGUGAAGUCCCUGCGGAUGGAGCUGAGACCAGUCGAAGAUACCAGCUGGCUGCAACUGUUUAUUAAAAACACAGCACUGUGCAAACACGAAAGUGGACGUAUACGGUGUGACGCCUGCCCGGUGCCGGAAGGUUAAUUGAUGGGGUUAUCCGUAAGGAGAAGCUCUUGAUCGAAGCCCCGGUAAACGGCGGCCGUAACUAUAACGGUCCUAAGGUAGCGAAAUUCCUUGUCGGGUAAGUUCCGACCUGCACGAAUGGCGUAAUGAUGGCCAGGCUGUCUCCACCCGAGACUCAGUGAAAUUGAACUCGCUGUGAAGAUGCAGUGUACCCGCGGCAAGACGGAAAGACCCCGUGAACCUUUACUAUAGCUUGACACUGAACAUUGAGCCUUGAUGUGUAGGAUAGGUGGGAGGCUUUGAAGCGUGGACGCCAGUCUGCGUGGAGCCAACCUUGAAAUACCACCCUUUAAUGUUUGAUGUUCUAACGUUGGCCCCUGACCGGGGUUGCGGACAGUGUCUGGUGGGUAGUUUGACUGGGGCGGUCUCCUCCCAAAGCGUAACGGAGGAGCACGAAGGUUAGCUAAUCCUGGUCGGACAUCAGGAGGUUAGUGCAAUGGCAUAAGCUAGCUUGACUGCGAGCGUGACGGCGCGAGCAGGUGCGAAAGCAGGUCAUAGUGAUCCGGUGGUUCUGAAUGGAAGGGCCAUCGCUCAACGGAUAAAAGGUACUCCGGGGAUAACAGGCUGAUACCGCCCAAGAGUUCAUAUCGACGGCGGUGUUUGGCACCUCGAUGUCGGCUCAUCACAUCCUGGGGCUGAAGUAGGUCCCAAGGGUAUGGCUGUUCGCCAUUUAAAGUGGUACGCGAGCUGGGUUUAGAACGUCGUGAGACAGUUCGGUCCCUAUCUGCCGUGGGCGCUGGAGAAUUGAGGGGGGCUGCUCCUAGUACGAGAGGACCGGAGUGGACGCAUCACUGGUGUUCGGGUUGUCAUGCCAAUGGCACUGCCCGGUAGCUAAAUGCGGAAGAGAUAAGUGCUGAAAGCAUCUAAGCACGAAACUUGCCCCGAGAUGAGUUCUCCCUGAGACUUUAAGUCUCCUGAAGGAACGUUGAAGACGACGACGUUGAUAGGCCGGGUGUGUAAGCGCAGCGAUGCGUUGAGCUAACCGGUACUAAUGAACCGUGAGGCUUAACCUU
rnacentral:rRNA from 1 species